rnacentral:rRNA from 1 species
AUUGAACGCUGGCGGCAGGCCUAACACAUGCAAGUCGAGCGGAUGAAGGGAGCUUGCUCCUGGAUUCAGCGGCGGACGGGUGAGUAAUGCCUAGGAAUCUGCCUGGUAGUGGGGGAUAACGUCCGGAAACGAGCGCUAAUACCGCAUACGUCCUGAGGGAGAAAGUGGGGGAUCUUCGGACCUCACGCUAUCAGAUGAGCCUAGGUCGGAUUAGCUAGUUGGUGGGGUAAAGGCCUACCAAGGCGACGAUCCGUAACUGGUCUGAGAGGAUGAUCAGUCAGACUGUAACUGAGAGUCGGUCCAGCCCCCUACGUGAUGCAGCAGUGGGGACUAUUGGACAAUGGGUGAUAGCCUGAUACAGCCAUGCCGCGUGUGUGAAGAAGGUCUUCGGAUUGUACAGCACUUUAAGUUGGGAGGAAGGGCAGUACGUUCAUACCUUGCUGUUUUGACGUUACCAACAGAAUAAGCACCGGCUAACUUCGUG